GGUGUUGCACGGCUGUCGUCAGCUCGUGUCGUGAGAUGUUUGGUUAAGUCCUUAAACGAGCGCAACUCUUAUCUUUAAUUUCAAAGUUACUUAUUUUUCAAAAACCGCAGAUUUUUGAAAAAAGCUUUAAAGACACCACCAAUGAGAAGUUGGAGGAAGGUGAGAACCAAGUCAAGUCAAUGUGACCCUUAUAGAUUGGGCUACACAUGUGCUACAAUGAAAAUUACAGAGAGUUACAAAA
rnacentral:rRNA from 1 species